rnacentral:rRNA from 1 species
UACGUAGGGUGCGAGCGUCGUCCGGAAUUACUGGGCGUAAAGAGCUCGUAGGUGGUUUGUCGCGUUGUCCGUGAAAACUCACAACUCAAUUGUGGGCGUGCGGGCGAUACGGGCAGACUGGAGUACUGCAGGGGAGACUGGAAUUCCUGGUGUAGCGGUGGAAUGCGCAGAUAUCAGGAGGAACACCGGUGGCGAAGGCGGAUCUCUGGGCCUUACCUGACGCUGAGGAGCGAAAGCAUGGGGAGCGAACAGG